rnacentral:tRNA from 1 species
GAAGUGGUGGUUCAAUGGUGGAAUUCUUGCCUUCCAUGCAUAAGACCCAGGUUCAAUUCCCGGUCAGUGCU